GACGAACGCUGGCGGCGCGCCUAACACAUGCAAGUCGAACGGGGUAUUGAGAGCUUGCUUUUGAUACCUAGUGGCGGACGGGUGAGUAACACGUGAGCAAUCUGCCCUUGUGAGGGGGAUAACGUCUGGAAACGGACGCUAAUACCGCAUAACAUACUGAGAUCGCAUGGUUUUGGUAUCAAAGAAUUAUCGCACAAGGAUGAGCUCGCGGCUGAUUAGCUAGUUGGCGGGGUAAAUGCCCACCAAGGCGACGAUCAGUAGCCGGACUGAGAGGUUGAACGGCCACAUUGGGACUGAGACACGGCCCAG
rnacentral:rRNA from 1 species